GACGAACGCUGGCGGCGUGCCUAAUACAUGCAAGUCGAGCGAGCGGAACUAACAGAUUUACUUCGGUAAUGACGUUAGGAAAGCGAGCGGCGGAUGGGUGAGUAACACGUGGGGAACCUGCCCCAUAGUCUGGGAUACCACUUGGAAACAGGUGCUAAUACCGGAUAAGAAAGCAGAUCGCAUGAUCAGCUUUUAAAAGGCGGCGUAAGCUGUCGCUAUGGGAUGGCCCCGCGGUGCAUUAGCUAGUUGGUAAGGUAAAGGCUUACCAAGGCGAUGAUGCAUAGCCGAGUUGAGAGACUGAUCGGCCACAUUGGGACUGAGACACGGCCCAAACUCCUACGGGAGGCAGCAGUAGGGAAUCUUCCACAAUGGACGCAAGUCUGAUGGAGCAACGCCGCGUGAGUGAAGAAGGUUUUCGGAUCGUAAAGCUCUGCUGUUGGUGAAGAAGGAUAGAGGUAGUAACUGGCCUUUAUUUGACGGUAAUCAACCAGAAAGUCACGGCUAACUACGU
rnacentral:rRNA from 1 species